rnacentral:rRNA from 1 species
UACGUAGGGGGCUAGCGUUGUCCGGAAUCAUUGGGCGUAAGCGCGCGUAGGCGGCCCUGUUAGUCCGCUGUAAAAGUCAAAGGCUCAACCUUUGAAUGCCGGUGGAUACUGCAGGCUAGAGUCCGGAAGAGGCGAAGUGGAAUUCCUGGUGUAGCGGUGGAAUGCGCAGAUAUCAGGAGGAACACCAACGGCGAAGGCAGCUCCGCGGGGACGGUGACUGACGCUUAAGCGCGAAA